GUCUAUGUGGUCUAUGUGCAAAGACCAGCAACAGCUUUACUCAGGAGGAACAAGGAACAAGAGGAAAAAUGUGGAAAGAUGCUUCUCCUGCUCUCUGCAGCCACCUAAGUUUUGCUUAAAUCUAUAUCCCUUUUCUAAAUAAAUUGGGAAACUACAAGAGAUAAACACAUAUAAUCUCUUCUUGCCAACUCGUAGACAGACUUCCAAAGAUAAAAAAAAAAUCCUAGAAAAGGCUCAAUUGAAUAUUACUGGAGUACUAACUUCUGAUUUUAAUAUGAUCUGUUUUCAUAGCAAACACACCAUUCUGGAGGAGUAGGGAUGACAAUGACUUGGCAGAUAAUUCCUGAAGUUCCAUGAAUUUCUUUGCCAUCUAUUAUAUUUGCUUCUUUACAAAAACUCAGGAGAAUACUGUGUGAAGGCAGAGAGCAAGAUGAUGCUUCUGAAGGCAAGGAAUGCCAAAAUUUGCCAGAGAUCACCAGAAGCUGUGGGAGGGGCAUGUAAGAAAUUCCUCCUCACAGCCCUCAGAAAGAACUAGCCCUACCAACAACUUGGCCUUGCACAUCUGAUCUCCAGAACUGUGAGAUGGAUGAACUUCUGAGGAUUUUACACAAGGAAAGCAACUGUCAAGAAGUGAAAAUGAACCCUAACCAAAUGUAUCAACGUACAGAACUGAGAUAUGAAUUUAUAAGGAGGUUGCUCUGUCCCUGCCUCCCCCAACCACCAGGAUUCUACAUCAGUCAACCUAUUUUAAUGUGUAAGUCUAUAGAUACACGGCUACAAAGGCCCUAUAUAAAGAAUGCAGAAGUUAUUAUGUAUUUUACUUGUGUGUGUUUGUAUGUGUGUGCGGGUGGGUGCGUGGUUAGAGACACCUGUAAUCCUGGGAGUUUGGAGGGCCAAGAUGGGAACAUUGCUUGAGAUCAGGAGUUGGAGACCAGCUUGGGCAACAUGGGGAAACCCCAUCUCUACAGAUUUAAAAAAAAAAAAAAAAUAGCCUGUCAUGGUGGCAUGCCCCUGUCAUCACAGCUACUCAGGAGGCUGAGGUGGGAGGAUUGUGUGAAUCUAGGAGGUAAAGGCCGCAGUGAGCCAUAAUUGCACCACUGCACUCCAGCUGGGAGAAAGAGUGAGACCCUGUCUAAAAUAAAAUAAACUUAAAUAAAAAAAGAAAGAAAAUGAAAUAAUAUCACAGAAAUGAUGUCAUUAUGUGUAGUAGGAAGAUACAUGGGAAUCCAAACUCCCCACAUUAAAAAUGUUGAGUCAUAUAGCGUUACAGAGUUAGACUAUUAGCAGAUUUCAAAAAGGAAUCUAGGAGAACACAGGUCUUACCCAAGGGGAUUUUUGGUGUUGUUUCUGAUGACUUAAAAAUCUGUUUCCAUUAUGUCAACUAGAAACCCACUUUCCAAAAAGCUAAUAGAUGGGAUUCUUGCUAUCAUCGAAUAAAACAUAGGUGCUUAGAGCAUAAAGACUUAUUUUCACUUGUAUUCUUAUCUUGGUAAAACAGUCUGCUGACAGUGUCACCCUUUGUCUGGUGGAGGUUUAGUGCUGCUGCUGUCGGUAUUAAAGCCAGAAAAAGAGAGAGGGGCGCUGGGAGAUACUUUAACUGCCACAGGCAUAAGCCAUUAUCUUCACUCUGUGAAAAAUUGCCCGAUUUCUUCUCUUGAUAAAACUAGACAUGGGUUUAAAAACAUCACUUAGAAACAUAAACCUCAAAUACCUAAGUCCUUACUUCUCUUCCUUUAUCAUUCGCCAGCGCCUUUGAGAAUUGGAGGGGAGUAAGGUAACUACUUGUAAUGAAAUGCACUUAAAGAGGGUAAAAUGUUAGAUUUCACUUUUGAGGCACAGUUGAUAGAAGCAUUAUCCCCGGAGGGCUUAUUCAAUCAAGAGUCUGAGAUGCUGAAGCAAGCAGAGAUUAAGAGACGGGAAAAGGGUUUCAUCAAGGCACAUGCUGCGGCGAGAACUCCUGUUGGCUUCCCUUUGCUCUGGCUCUCUUAGAGCACACGCUUCUGUGGGGAUCAUGCUCAUUCUCUCUGGUGAAGUUGUGCUACCCCACAUGCCCUUAAGGUUCACUCUGGACACCUCGGCAAAGCCUGAAGUUUCCCUGCCCUCAGCCCCAGCCCACCUUGUCUUUCCCACCUCACUUCCAUCACGUAUACCCUAUGUCGUAUCCAUCCCAAACUUUCCAUCAUUCUGCAGACUUUCU
rnacentral:lncRNA from 1 species